GUCCAUGAACCAAAGUGAUACUUAGUGAAAGCUCUAUCUAGGAAAAAUUCUUGCAGUACUCAGUGAGAGUUGAAAAGGUAGAGCUUUCACUAAGUACCACUUUGGUUCAUGGAC